rnacentral:rRNA from 1 species
GACGAACGCUGGCGGCGUGCCUAAUACAUGCAAGUAGAACGCUGAAGGAGGAGCUUGCUUCUCCGGAUGAGUUGCGAACGGGUGAGUAACGCGUAGGUAACCUGCCUGGUAGCGGGGGAUAACUAUUGGAAACGAUAGCUAAUACCGCAUAAGAGUAGAUGUUGCAUGACAUUUGCUUAAAAGGUGCAAUUGCACCACUACCAGAUGGACCUGCGUUGUAUUAGCUAGUUGGUGGGGUAACGGCUCACCAAGGCGACGAUACAUAGCCGACCUGAGAGGGUGAUCGGCCACACUGGGACUGAGACACGGCCCAGACUCCUACGGGAGGCAGCAGUAGGGAAUCUUCGGCAAUGGACGGAAGUCUGACCGAGCAACGCCGCGUGAGUGAAGAAGGUUUUCGGAUCGUAAAGCUCUGUUGUAAGAGAAGAACGAGUGUGAGAGUGGAAAGUUCACACUGUGACG